UUAUUUCUGCUGAAUUUAACGAGUUUGUAUCCUCUCGUUUUAGCUCACUCUUCGCUUGAUCAACUGUUUGUUGCGCGGGCGACACAGCUUUUAUAUUUACGGAACAAACCUCAUCCUUCGAUUGAGAUGGAUGAGGAGGCUCUCUUCCUAUCAACACGUAACCGGGAUACGCAGUCGUAAUAAUCAUCAAAAGAUGCAAGCGUGACCGCCAUGGGCUCCACAACGAUUCAGAUACAAACUUGUCUUGACUUGUGUGUGUAAUACUGCGUAUAAAUAAACAAUUUGGUAAAUUGA